rnacentral:lncRNA from 1 species
AGCCAGUGCCAAUUGAGUUUGAUGUGGAUGUGGAACUGGCUUCCCAAGUUUUCAGCUUGGUCAGCUCUUCCUCUAUUCUACUGAUGCUAGGAUGAGAUCCAGUAGGGAAACUGUUUGAGCGAAUAUGGAACUUGUUUGCCAUGGUAACUCUUUUUCUAUUUUUCUCUUUCUCAAAAGAAGCUCAAUGUUUCUGUGCUUUCACCAAGCACUUAACUCUAUAUAUAUAGGUAUACUGCAAUUCAUGUUAACCUUUGAUAAUCAAUGUGAGCAUGUGGUACCUGCAUGUGUUUCCUACUAAUUUGGUGAGUUUGCCACAUCUCUGCCAAACAUUGUGCACUAUUAUUUGUGAUAUAAUACAGACAAAGUUGAUAAUGGAAUUCGUUUGGUGUGCAUAACUGGCAUGUUCUCCUAGUGUUGGCAAUCGGAAAGCCUCAUUAGUCAUCAACCAUUUUGCCUCCUUUUCUGCCACAUUGCAUCUUGACUUCAAAUUAUAAAAAUGCUGUUUCAGUAUUCAUUACCUGGCUUGUCUCAAGGAUAAGAAGCUAAAACUGCAAGAUGGUGUAAUAAAUGGCUUUUGGUAGAUGAGAUUCGGAUCUCGAGGGAUAUCACACAUGGACAACAAUUUCGAGUUAUUUAUGAUUUUGGUUGUAUAUAAUUUUGAUUACAGAUUUCGAGAACAAAAUAUUGGAUUAUCUGGUGUGUGCACGAGUGGCU